rnacentral:rRNA from 1 species
CCUACGGGAGGCAGCAGUGGGGAAUCUUGCGCAAUGGGCGAAAGCCUGACGCAGCCAUGCCGCGUGAAUGAUGAAGGUCUUAGGAUUGUAAAAUUCUUUCACCGAGGACGAUAAUGACGGUACUCGGAGAAGAAGCCCCGGCUAACUUCGUGCCAGCAGCCGCGGUAAUACGAAGGGGGCUAGCGUUGCUCGGAAUUACUGGGCGUAAAGGGAGCGUAGGCGGAUAGUUUAGUCAGAGGUGAAAGCCCAGGGCUCAACCUUGGAAUUGCCUUUGAUACUGGCUAUCUUGAGUACGGAAGAGGUAUGUGGAACUCCGAGUGUAGAGGUGAAAUUCGUAGAUAUUCGGAAGAACACCAGUGGCGAAGGCGACAUACUGGUCCGUUACUGACGCUGAGGCUCGAAAGCGUGGGGAGCAAACAGGAUUAGAUACCCUGGUAGUCCACGCUGUAAACGAUGAGUGCUAGUUGUCGGCAUGCAUGCAUGUCGGUGACGCAGCUACGCAUAAGACACUCCGCCGUCGGGAGGUACGGUCGCAGAUAAACUACGAAGAAGUACGACGGCGUGAGACGUGCCGACGGACGACGACGAGGGAGGAGG